rnacentral:sRNA from 1 species
AAUGCUGGGGCUGCUGCCGCGGUCAUGAGGGAGCCGCUCCCGGGCAGCGCUUCCUGGGGGACCCCUGGCCCCCCGAGCGCCGGGACCAUGUCCCAGCUGCAGCUGUGGCUGCAGUUUGAGGCUCUGAACAAGGACUCCUCCUAUUUUGAGGACUUCUCCAACAUCUCCAUCUUCUCCUCGUCCGUGGACUCCCUGUCGGACAUCGUGGACACGCCCGACUUCCUGCCGGCUGACAGCCUCAACCAGGUGUCCACCAUCUGGGACGAUAACCCUGCCCCCUCCACCCAUGAUAAGCUGUUCCAGCUCAGCAGGCCGUUUGCAGGCUUCGAGGACUUUCUGCCCUCCCACAGCACCCCGCUUCUCGUCAGCUACCAGGAGCAGAGUGUGCAGAGCCAGCCAGAGGAGGAGGACGAGGCUGAGGAGGAGGAGGCGGAGGAGCUAGGGCACACAGAGACCUACGCCGACUACGUGCCGUCCAAGUCUAAGAUCGGGAAGCAGCACCCAGACCGCGUGGUGGAGACCAGCACACUGUCCAGCGUCCCACCCCCAGACAUCACCUACACCCUGGCCCUGCCCUCGGACAGAGGGGCCUUGUCUGCCCUGCAGCUAGAGGCCAUCACCUACGCCUGCCAGCAACACGAGGUCCUGCUCCCCAGCGGGCAGCGCGCGGGCUUUCUCAUCGGCGACGGGGCCGGCGUGGGCAAAGGCCGGACGGUGGCCGGAGUCAUCCUGGAGAACCACCUGCGCGGCCGGAAGAAAGCAUUGUGGUUCAGCGUCUCCAACGACCUCAAGUACGACGCGGAGCGCGACCUGCGGGACAUCGAAGCCACGGGCAUCGCGGUGCACGCGCUCAGCAAGAUCAAGUACGGUGACACCACUACCUCAGAGGGCGUCCUCUUCGCCACCUACUCCGCCCUGAUUGGGGAGAGCCAGGCCGGUGGCCAGCACCGCACUCGCCUCCGGCAGAUCCUGGACUGGUGUGGGGAGGCCUUUGAGGGCGUCAUCGUGUUCGACGAGUGUCACAAAGCCAAGAAUGCCGGCUCCACCAAGAUGGGCAAGGCCGUGCUAGACCUGCAGAACAAGCUGCCCCUGGCCCGCGUGGUCUACGCCAGUGCCACAGGUGCCUCUGAGCCUCGGAACAUGAUCUACAUGAGCCGCUUGGGUAUCUGGGGCGAGGGCACACCCUUCCGGAACUUUGAGGAGUUCCUGCACGCCAUCGAGAAGAGGGGCGUUGGCGCCAUGGAGAUCGUGGCCAUGGACAUGAAGGUCAGCGGCAUGUACAUCGCACGCCAGCUCAGCUUCUCCGGCGUCACCUUCCGCAUCGAGGAGAUCCCGCUGGCCCCAGCCUUCGAGUGUGUCUACAACCGCGCGGCCCUGCUGUGGGCCGAGGCCCUGAACGUGUUCCAGCAGGCGGCCGACUGGAUCGGCCUGGAGUCGCGCAAGUCCCUGUGGGGCCAGUUCUGGUCGGCACAUCAGCGCUUCUUCAAGUAUCUGUGCAUCGCCGCCAAGGUGCGCCGGCUGGUGGAGCUGGCCCGAGAGGAGCUGGCGCAAGACAAGUGCGUGGUCAUCGGGCUGCAGUCCACGGGCGAGGCGCGCACGAGGGAGGUGCUGGGGGAGAACGACGGGCACCUCAACUGCUUCGUCUCGGCCGCUGAAGGCGUGUUCCUGUCGCUAAUUCAGAAGCACUUUCCGUCCACCAAGAGAAAGCGGGACAGAGGAGCGGGCAGCAAGCGGAAACGUAAGCCCUGCCCCCCAUGGCCCCACCCACCCCUGCCCCUCUGCUUUCUCCCCCCGGGGGCCGGCCGGUCGCUCCCUGCUUCCCCCACUCCCCCGUCCACUCAGCCAAAUGCAGGUCCUGUCCGUGCCAGGCAGGCUCAAGGCUCCGCUGCCAGUGGCAGGUCUUGCGUGGACCCUGCCAUGGAACGCUCAGGGAAGAGGAAGCAACAGACAGCCUGAAGGACACAGACGCGGGUGCCGAGCAAGACCCGGGGGGUGGGACACGGACGCGGGUGCUGAGAGAGACCCCUCCCACCUUCCGUUUUCAGGGUCUCCACAGUCCCUUGGGGAGCCCAUUGAUAACCCCCAGGCUUCUGUCACAGGGAAGCCCAGAGCUGCCUGUCGAAGUCUGGUGUGUGGCCUCCCCAGGCACCCCGCGUGUCCACCAUACUGGCCAGGCCUGAAACGAUGUUGGAUAUGGGCUUAUUAAUAUUGUCCCGUUCGCUGGGUGCGAUGGCUCACGCCUGUAAUCCCAGCACUUGGGAGGCCGAGGCGGGUGGAUCACCUGAGGUCAGGAGUUUAAGACCAGCCUGGCCAACAUGGUGAGACCCUGUCUCUACUAAAAAUACAAAAAUUAGCUGGGCGUGGUGGUGCACGCCUAUAAUCCCAGCUACUUGGGAGGCUGA